rnacentral:rRNA from 1 species
ACAAUGAAGAGUUUGAUCCUGGCUCAGGAUGAACGCUAGCUACAGGCUUAACACAUGCAAGUCGAGGGGAAACGACAUUGAAAGCUUGCUUUUGAUGGGCGUCGACCGGCGCACGGGUGCGUAACGCGUAUCGAACCUGCCCUUUACUCAGGGAUAGCCUUGCGAAAGUAAGAUUAAUACCUGAUAGUGUUGUGAUGAGGCAUCUUGUUGCAACUAAAGAUUUAUUGGUAAAGGAUGGCGAUGCGUCUGAUUAGGUAGUAGGCGGGGUAAUGGCCCACCUAGCCGACG